GACGAACGCUGGCGGCGUGCUUAACACAUGCAAGUCGAACGGAAAGGCCCUGCUUGCAGGGUACUCGAGUGGCGAACGGGUGAGUAACACGUGGGUGAUCUGCCCUGCACUUCGGGAUAAGCCUGGGAAACUGGGUCUAAUACCGGAUAGGAGCCAUUUUUAGUGUGAUGGUUGGAAAGUUUUUUCGGUGUAGGAUGAGCUCGCGGCCUAUCAGCUUGUUGGUGGGGUAAUGGCCUACCAAGGCGGCGACGGGUAGCCGGCCUGAGAGGGUGGACGGCCACAUUGGGACUGAGGUACGGCCCAGACGCCUACGGGAGGCAGCAGUGGGGAAUAUUGCACAAUGGGCGCAAGCCUGAUGCAGCGGCGCCGCGUGGGGGAUGACGGCCUUCGGGUUGUAAACUCCUUUCGCUAGGGACGAAGCUUUUUGUGACGGUACCUAGAUAAGAAGCACCGGCUAACUACGUG
rnacentral:rRNA from 1 species